AACGAACGCUGGCGGCAUGCCUAACACAUGCAAGUCGAACGAGACCUUCGGGUCUAGUGGCGCACGGGUGCGUAACGCGUGGGAAUCUGCCCUUGGGUUCGGAAUAACAGUUGGAAACGACUGCUAAUACCGGAUGAUGACGUAAGUCCAAAGAUUUAUCGCCCAAGGAUGAGCCCGCGUAGGAUUAGCUAGUUGGUGAGGUAAAGGCUCACCAAGGCGACGAUCCUUAGCUGGUCUGAGAGGAUGAUCAGCCACACUGGGACUGAGACACGGCCCAGACUCCUACGGGAGGCAGCAGUGGGGAAUAUUGGACAAUGGGCGAAAGCCUGAUCCAGCAAUGCCGCGUGAGUGAUGAAGGCCUUAGGGUUGUAAAGCUCUUUUACCCGGGAUGAUAAUGACAGUACCGGGAAAAUAAGCUCCGGCUAACUCCGUG
rnacentral:rRNA from 1 species